rnacentral:rRNA from 1 species
UACGUAGGGUGCAAGCGUUACUCGGAAUUACUGGGCGUAAAGCGUGCGCAGGCGGUUUUGUAAGUCAGAUGUGAAAUCCCCGGGCUUAACCUGGGAACUGCGUUUGAAACUACAAGGCUAGAGUGUGGCAGAGGGGGGUGGAAUUCCACGUGUAGCAGUGAAAUGCGUAGAGAUGCGGAGGAACACCGAUGGCGAAGGCAGCCCCCUGGGCUGACACUGACGCUCAGGCACGAAAGCGUGGGGAGCAAACAGG